UACGUAGGGCGCGAGCGUUAAUCGGAAUUACUGGGCGUAAAGCGUGCGCAGGCGGUUCUCCAAGUCCGGUGUGAAAGCCCCGGGCUUAACCUGGGAAUGGCAUUGGAAACUGGCGGGCUUGAGUGCGGCAGAGGGGGGUGGAAUUCCGCGUGUAGCAGUGAAAUGCGUAGAGAUGCGGAGGAACACCGAUGGCGAAGGCAGCCCCCUGGGUCGACACUGACGCUCAGGCACGAAAGCGUGGGGAGCAAACAGG
rnacentral:rRNA from 1 species